CGUAUACUUACAUGUUCCAAUCUGUGUUCGUGUGUGUGUGUAUGUGUUAAUAAUAAUGCAAAAUCCCUGGAAAUAUAGCCGAUACUAACUACCAAAACAGACUGUUAUUGGAAGCCGGGAUCGGAUAUAGAUCUCAGUAAGCGUCAUUCACAUUAAACAUUCAUCUGGUCCUACAUUCAGUAUUGAACCCUAUAUUCUACUCUGUAUGAUCGAUUAUUUUGUUUAUAUUUAAAUCCCACCCUCCACUCACACAAAUACACAAUGUUCCAAUUAAGUAAUUAUGGAAAACGACAUUGUUUCAUUAUUCCUAUUUUAAGUGGUAUAUUUACAUGCUGUAUUGUAAAUAUUGUUCUAAUUACAUAUUUAUCAGACCUUUGUCAGAGAAUUCUGACAAAUUUCCAGUCAGAGAAUUACGACCGUCUAUUCGCAAUCUUCUCUCCAUAUUCAUCAAAUAUCUCUUUCUUACUGACCUCGUCCCUACUACAUUUCAAGUAAUGUACAGCGAAAUUUAUAGGUUCACCCAUAUACAUAUAUAUAUACAUGGUGUGUGUAUGUGUGUGAGUCUGUGUGUUCUGUGUGCUUGUCUGUGUGUGUUGAAAGAGAGAAGGAUAUAUAUUUGUGUGAGAGCAUAAUAUCAACAAUUUCUCUUCAUAAGCCACAAUAUCGCUAUGUCUUAAAGCCAGUUCUUAGAUGUGAUUCAAUUUAUAGAUGUAAUUAGCAAUUUCAAGAUACUAUUAAUUACGUUGAUGAAUCACAAAUUGUCUGAGCAAUGCUGCGUAUGGUUUGAUAGUCCACCAUUAUAGCCACAAAUGAUAUUGACGAGACAAUCUGUCUGUUCUGUGAGUAGAAUAUUGGGUAGUUAGCUUCGAUAAAAGGGAACCAUUUAUAGUGGAGUUUAUCGAUACAUUAUGAAUGUAACCAUUUAUCUCUAUCAUAUUCAAUAUUGCAGUCGUGUUUCAAAGAAAUUCUAUGCCCGUUGGAUCCUACUUGGCAGCUAAUAUGAUUUUUCGGUCAUUCACCCUUGCACAGCUGCUAAUUAGUGAAAUCUGUUGAAGCCUAUUUUAAUACAGGUGGGGUGGGGGUAGGUUGGCUUUUUGCGUUUGAGUGACAGCUAAGAGUAUUUAAGCUGCAUUUAAAAGUGAUGUUCUAAGUUCAAAUCCUAACGAGGUCAACUUUGCUUUUCAUCUUUCUACAAUCGCAAAAAUAUAUUACCAGUCAAACAUUUGAAUCGAUAUGAUCGAUUACACGCUUCUCCGAAGCUGAAACUCUGAGAUUAUUAAUAUAUUAGAUGCUUUAUUAAUCGUUGAAAAUAUUUCUAAGACGUUAAAUAUUUAAUUCAGCUACGCAAUGGCAAAACUUGUUUAAUUUGAAGAUAAAUUCUUACUGAUUGAAUAUCGAAUGUUUGGUUCGUCAAACUUCACUGGAUGUUAUCAAUAGAUCGAUACAAAUCAGCUUCUGUAGAACUUGUCUUUAGCGCAUACUUUGGGAAGACUGAAAUAAGUGUCAUUUGAUGAAAAAAUGUUCAGAAAUGACAAGAAAUGACGAGGCUUAGAGAAAAUUAUGGCAUUUUAAAAACUAACCUCAAUACAUUACUGCUACGUUAUUUUAUCGACUCCAAAAACACGAAAGGUGACGUUGUUCGCGGCGAGAUUUGAACUCAGAAUAUUGGGUAUCAUGCCUUUGGCAAUAUGCGAAUGCGCGUGUAUUAUAUAACAGAAUGCAAAUUAUAAACGUGAGCCAUUCGAUAUGCUGAGAACGAUAAAACAAAUUCUAUACCGAAAGAAGUAUUAAACCCCAAAUGAUCACCCUGAACUGUAGCAUGGGCAGAAUCUGAUGACUGAAACCAACAGAGGAAUAAAGCAUUGAUGAAUAGACUAGGAGCAUUGUAGCUCUACGAGAAAUGAAUUUGUCAAUGAAGAGAGGUUUUAUGAAUAUAAAAUAUUAAUAAUAACUUCGUAUUUCUGUAGUAAGUCAUUGUUUUGGUACAAGUGGGCCCUAACACGUCAUACCUUAGAAAAAGGGCGUUCCGGCCCUAACUAUCACUCUUUUACUUCAAAUAUAAUGUAUGCAGGACUGCAUUUUGUUAUACGUAGUUCCGUUUUUAUAAUCAGUAUAGUGUGAUAUGAGCAAAAAAGGUAAGGUAGGAAAAAGCUGAAGAAGCCUAACAUUACUUGUAGGAAUCUUUGUCAAUACGUGAUUAGCUUUCCGUCCUUUAUUGACGAUAUCGAAUAGAUUAGGAGUUGUACGGGAGAGGAGGAGACAAAGACAGAGAGGAGAAGAAAGUCGAAGAAUAAGGAAGUGGAGAGUAAUAGAGGGAAGAAAAAGAUUUUAUAAUAAGGGAUGGUGGGGGUCAGAAAAGUGGGAAGUUGGACAGCGAUUAACAUGAGGAGACAAUCAGUGUGAAGGCUGGCAAUUUGAAGGUAAUCAGGAUAAGAGAAGUUAAUUUUAAUUUGGUUAUUAAUUCAAAAAAAAACCACUUAAAAUUAGUGUUAUCUAAAUGUAUGGGAGGAGGAAGUAAGAGCGGGCAAAA